AAAAAAAAAAAUAAAAAACUUAAACGCAAAAUCACAGAGGAACCCUAAGCCUUUAACAUGUUCUACCUUCCCAAGCUCUGCCGUUUCUCCACACGCAAAUCGCAGCUCAACGGCUCCACCUUCUUCGGCGCCACCCUUCUCCAGUUCUAUAUUUGUCGGCCCACCGUUUGAUUAUCUCUUCAGCCCUCAAGUAUACUCAUCCAAAACCUUCUUCUCUCUCCUCAGAAACCCUCUUUCUCUCCAAAAAUCAAAUCCUUCUCCUUCCCCCAAAAUCAAAAUCCAAAACUUAGGAUGAGAAAGAAGGAAGAGCCGAUCAGAUACGUUGGGAAACGAUUGACCCAUCGUCUUUACCUCUCAGAGCUCGCCUUACUCUCCAUCUGACAAACCAAGGAGAGGAACCUGGUAACCCAUCGUCUUUACCUCUCAGAGCUCGCCGUACUCUCCAUCUGACAAACCAAGGAGAGGAACCUGGUACAAUGAUGAAGAAGCCAGAAUUCUUGAUGACUUGCAAGGCUGACCAGCGAUCGCACUUCAAAUCCAAGGUUUAGAGGAAAAGAUGAGACUCAAAUAGGAAGAAUAGAUCAUCCUACACCAUAAAAAAAAAUGAGAAGGCAGUAAAAGGAAAAGAGGUAAAAGUCUAUGUUACAAAAAAUAUAUAACGAAACCAGUUGAUAAUGAAGAAAUUAGCUUGAUGAAACAAAACAACUUUACAUCAGUGGGAUUUGGGUCUGAAUUUGAUGUGGUAGCUGUUCCUAAUUGGUUGAUUACUUAUCAGAAGGAAAAAUGUUCAGGCAAAAUCUUCUUAAGAGAUGCAACGCAACAACCACUUCUCUCUCUCUCCCUCCCUCUCUCUAUAGUGGAAAGUGAUGAUUUUAAUAAUUGUGUAAAUUGGCAUUGUGUUGCCUUUUCAAUCCCAUUGAGAUGUAGCAUUUUUAUUUACUGGCAAUGUUAGAAUUUAGAUACAUCUUAGACAUCAAGAAUGAUUAAUGUAAUGUAUGAACUAUAUUUGAAUGAGUAUGGAAUGAUGGGGUUGAGGGAGGGAGAUGAAAUUGGAGUGAUUAUAUUUGGAAUUUAAUUUAUGUGUAAUUAAUUGUAUUGGAGUAUUCUUAUAUUUUCUAAAUUAUGAUCUCAAGCAUUUGGUUACCAUGA